rnacentral:tRNA from 1 species
GCGGGGGUAGCCAAGCGGUAAGGCGAUCGGCUGCAGACCGAUGAUUCGGGGGUUCAAUUCCCUCCCCCCGCU